rnacentral:rRNA from 1 species
UGGGGAAUAUUGGACAAUGGGCGGAAGCCUGAUCCAGCAACGCCGCGUGAGGGAUGACGGCCUUCGGGUUGUAAACCUCUUUCAGCAGGGACGAAGCGCAAGUGACGGUACCUGCAGAAGAAGCACCGGCCAACUACGUGCCAGCAGCCGCGGUAAUACGUAGGGUGCGAGCGUUGUCCGGAAUUAUUGGGCGUAAAGGGCUCGUAGGCGGUUUGUCGCGUCGGGAGUGAAAACCAGGUGCUUAACACCUGGCUUGCUUUCGAUACGGGCAGACUAGAGGUAUUCAGGGGAGAACGGAAUUCCUGGUGUAGCGGUGAAAUGCGCAGAUAUCAGGAGGAACACCGGUGGCGAAGGCGGUUCUCUGGGAAUGACCUGACGCUGAGGAGCGAAAGUGUGGGGAGCGAACA